rnacentral:lncRNA from 1 species
CUUCCCUCUAUCUAUCUUCCAUCUUUCUUUCUUUCUUUCUUAUUCACUUCCUUUGAGGAGGAAGAAGACGUUUCCUAGUUUGUUUAUUAACUUCUUUGUUGUGAUUAUGAGGUGAAAGUUUGUUUUGGAUCUUCUCCCCUCCCCCUCCUCACACAAAUACACUUCACUAGCUACUUCAUCUCCCUCUUCUCUCUUUCACUCUCGGUUUCGAGGCAAGUCGAUCGUAUGAAAAGGGUAAUUAAUCUCCAGAUCGUGAAGUAGAAAGGUGUCAAGUCAUUGAGAAACUCCGAGGCGGUGACCUUCUCUUCGAAUCGUUUCCAAGUAAGUUGAUUGGUGUUGACAAGUUAAUAUAGAAUUCCCUCACAAAAACCAACCGUAUUUUUUUCUAUACCAAACGAACGCCUUAGAUCGUUCUUGAUAGAGAGAUUUGGAGGAAGUAAUCUGGUUUAAAUCUUAAAGGUUGAGUAAGAUUUCAAUUCGCUAAAAUUAGAUGUAUUUGUUUAUAUAUAUGUGAAAUUGAAACGAACGAUUCCUCUGAAUCCCUCUACCGAGCAUGUACAAAUCUCUUCUCCGUAUUCUUAGAGAUAUAAUAUAUAGUGGUUAAUUAUAAAGCUUUUGACUUUUUGUAUUUUGGUUUGAUAAUUAGUCAUUCCAUCUCCUAGUUUUGCCAAUAUACAAACCCCUAAUGACAAUUCUACACAGUUCGUAGUUUUUUUCCAGAAAAUUGGAGAUUUAUAAGAAGUGGGUAAUUAUAAAGAUGAGUUCUUUGUAACGGACAAUGGAGUAGCUACUAGCUAGCAAGAAGAUUGAGUCUCUGAAUUAAUUUCCUUCAGAAUAAACAAAUAAUAAAAUCAUUAUUUAUUUUUAUUUGGGUGGAAAUUGCAGUACGCAGCAGAGAGUGUCUGGUAAUGAAAGAAGUGUCAGCAGCUCUGCAACUAAUCAUUUGAGCGAAGAAGACGAUGAUGAUGAUGAUAUGAUAAUCAAGCACGUGUUCUGAUUAUUAAAUUCUUCUCUUCCAAUUUCUCUCAGGUAAAUUUCUCUUUCUUAUUCAAUUUGUUUGUGUCAGUCCCCUAUUAUGGAAUCCUCUGUCUCUCUUACAGAUGGCGACGUACUUCCACGGCAAUCACGAUAUAUAGCCGUCGGGUNNNNNNNNNNNNNNNNCCGCCCCCCGACGGUCUCCAAACCUUAGUCCUCAUGAACCCAUCCUACGUCCAGUACUCCGACACUCCUCCUCCUCCGCAACAACCACCGCCACCACAGUUCGUCGGAAUCCCACUUGACCACCACCAC